CUCAAUAGUGCAGUGGUUAGCACGCAUCGCCUAGAAGGGAUUAGACACGGGUUCAACUCCCGUUAGAGAGU